UGAAUAUCACGCAGGCUGGAGCGCAGUGGCGCAAUCUCGGCUCACUGCAACCUCUGCCUCCUGGGUUCAAGCAAUUCUGCCUCAGCCACCCGAGUAGCUGGGAUUACAGGCACACGCCACCAUGCCCGGCUAAUUUUUGUAUUGUAUUAGAGACAGGGUUUCACCAUGUUGGCGAGGCUGGUCCCGAACUCCUGGCCUCAAGUGAUCUGCCCGCCGUCCGCCUCAGUGUCCCGAGGUGCUGGGAUUACAGGUGUGAGCCACCGCACCCAGCAAAAGUGCUUUCUCGAGAUGGAAUCUGCGCCUGGUGAAGAUGCUCUAAACAUUGCUGAGAUAACAAAGGAUUUAGAAUAUUCCAUAAACUUCGUUGGUACAGCAGCGAUAGGGUUCGAGAGGAUUUUCCAGUUGUGAGAGAAGGUCUGCUGUGGACAAAAUGCUACCAAACAGCAUCGCGUGCUACGGAGAAAUCUUUUGUGAAAGGAAGAAGCUCAAUGUGGCCAGCUUUAUUGUUGUCUUAUUUUAAGAAAUUGCUGGCCGGGUGUGGUGGAGAAUCACUUGAACCCAGGAGGCAGAGGUUGCAGUGAGCCGAGAUCACGCCAUUGAACUCCAGCUGGGCAUAAGAGCAAAACUCCAUCUCAAAAAAAAAAAAAAAAAGGAAGAAAUUGCCACAGCCACCUCAGCCUUCAGCCACCACCACCCUGAUCAGUCAGCAGCCACAAACAAGACCUUCCACCAGCAAAGAGAUCCCAACUUCCUCAAGCCUCAGUGGAAAACCGAAAAAUCCCUCCGACUGGCUUUAUUGCGAC
rnacentral:lncRNA from 10 species